rnacentral:rRNA from 1 species
GUCCAUGCCGUAAACUAUGAGAACUUACUGUUGGACACAUAAAGGCGUUUAGUAGUGGAGCUAACGCGAUAAGUUCUCCGCCUGGGGAGUACGGCCGCAAGGCUAAAACUCAAAGGAAUUGACGGGGCCCGCACAAGCGGUGGAGCAUGUGGUUUAAUUCGAUGCAACGCGAAGAACCUUACCUACUCUUGAAUCCACGAAAGAUCGUAGAAAUACGGUUGUGCCGAAAGGAAUCGUGAGACAGGUGCUGCAUGGCUGUCGU